rnacentral:lncRNA from 1 species
CCAACAUUGUGUCCGGAGGGUCGCCUGUGGUGCUGCGGCUGCGUUUCUCAAAGUGUUUGAUUUCACGGUGCCCUUCAGAAGACACUGGCAACUACGGAAACCUUGCAUACCUCCCUAUGGUAUGCGAGCAUAGCGUGCUGCUCAUGUUCCAUGUGUCCGUUCGAUUGCUUUAUUUGACACAAGAAGCAACGCAUCUGGCUUUUCCGGGGCCAUUUCAUCUCUCGGACUGAUUCAUUCCGUGUCAAGCGUUUGACACCCCACCUGAUCAGCUGUGACAAACGGAGCACAUACAAGGUGAAUAACACGAUUUGUUAUGGAGCUCUUCUUUUCUUUGUUCCAUGCAUCAGCCUGAGAUCCAGGUGGUACCGACUGAAUGAGCAUCAGCACGAGUGCAUAUUGUGCGGAUGAUCCAGACCCCCAAUUAAGCCUAC